rnacentral:lncRNA from 1 species
CAGCAAACAUUUCACCCUUUGUGUUAAAUGAAAUACACAAAUUCAUUUUUGCUCUGGGUGUCUGCGGCUGCUGGAAAACUGAGCCACAAUAAAAACACAUAUCUCUACUUUUAUCCUUCCGUCCUCUGAAACUUCCUUGCUGUGCUGGAGCAGAUCCUGCAUACAUUAGUUUCUCACUUUCCUCUGAGCCUUCUACAUCAAAAUUCAACUUUAUCUUAACACUUUUAGCUUUCGUGGUAGUAUCUGCACUGGCCUUCAGUUUUACUGACCUGUUUUCUGGCAAUUAUCGUUCUGGGAUAAGGGCUCCGGAAAUAAUUAGAAU